GGGCCCGUGGUCUAGUGGUAGGACGCCGCCCUCGCAAGGCGGAGGUCCCGGGUUCAAUUCCCGGCGGGUCCACCA
rnacentral:tRNA from 1 species